ACUAUGCAGAUCUUCAUCCUCCGAACCAACGAGUCGCGACAGAUGCGCCAUUCGGAGAGUAGGCAGCUUUGCAGUGUGAUUCCGCGAGGGGAUGGGGUGGGGGAAACUUCCUGCAACUCCAUGGAUGGUCAGUGACGGAAACGUAAACAUCCGCGCGAUUCUAGUAUGUGUCAAACGACAUCAACGGUGAAACUCCUUCCUUUCCAGUCCAAUCCCAUCGUUUCUGCAGAAUCAUUAACUUCAAAUAAUUUCAUCUUAAAAAUCGUUAACUAAUUCUACAUAAACCCAGAUAGUUUUCAGAUCUAACAAAACUAACCAGCAACAAAAUAAAUUUGUAAAAUAGCCCCUCUGACACAAGAUAUCCAUUAACCAAUCAAAGGAGGGAAGAAAAAAGGUGAUCUCUACCAUUGGAUUAAAAAAACGAAAAAAAUCUGAUGGACAGCAUCUAAAAGCGCACCGGUCAACCAAAGAGAAGUGCUAUGCGCACACUGAUGUGCCAAAGAUCUUCGGCACAUGGAAUCCGUGCCCCACACGAUGGCGCCGGCGCGGCUGGGAGCCACCAUCGCCAUCGCUAUUGAAUGGUGGAGAGAGAGAGAGAGAUUGAAUUGAGGUGUGAGAAAGGGAGGCGUUGAGAGAGAAGACACGAUCGAGGAGAAGGAGGCAUUGUCUCGCACCGCCGUUGUGUCUAUCGUUGCCGUCGAAGCUUUGAUCACCAUCGCUGAAGAUCCCAUCAUCGUCCCUGCAUGCGAGAGAGAAGAGAAACGCGAUAGAGGAAGAGUUGUUCCUCCGCCGCUAUUCCCAUUGUCGCCAUCACUGGAGGUUACGGUCGCCGUCACUGGUGGUAGUGAAACAGGCCGUCGUCCUUGCUGCCAGAGCUAGUUGGGUUGGUGCUGCUGCCACUGUUAAGGGUGUUCUUGCCUCUGAUUCUCGUUUUUCAGAUUGUUGGAGAUGCCGCCGCCACCGUAUGGUUGCUUCGGCUGCCGCUGAGACUUCCUAUCAUCGUUGGAGCUACUGCCGUUCCAUUUCCUUGCACCUCCCUAAUUGCAGGUUGAGCCACUGCAGCUGCGGACUGGGAUUGUUGCUUUUGCUACCACAUUGUUAUGGCAUAGUUGCUGUGAAUAUUGCGGCUGUCGCUACCGCUAUUGUUACCAUGCUGUUGAGUUACUUUGAGGUAGGGAUUCUUCUUAAACUUAUUUUAUUUCAAGAAAUUGUUAUAGAUCGAUAUCAAUGUGAAAAUUAUAUUUUUAGUGAUUGUGUGAGUCUUAUGAAUUAAAUUGGACAAUUUUGGAGAAAUAGAAUUUGUUAAAUGCGGAUGGAUAUUAAAGUAAUAAAAUAGAUUAAAAACAAUAGUUGAAGUUUCCUAAUGGGUGGAUUAGGAUUUGUGAAUAUCUUGCAUCUUAAUUGAGAAUAUGAGUUGUAAUUAUUUGAUUGCUUGGACCGUUGGAUGUGCUUUAUAAUUGAUUUUCAGUGAAAAUAAAUAGUGUUACAAAUUGAUGAAUUUAGUUUGAUUACUAGAAUUUAGUGCUAUGGAAACUUAAAACGCAAGUUGAAUCCUAAUUAAUCAUGUUGUGUUUGGUUUGAAAUUGAAGGAUUAAAUAUGGUUAAUUCAUAAGAAUUGAAUGAGCUAUUAGUGAAUUGUUUUGAUUUCAAUAAAAGGAGGUUGAUUGUUAUGUUGAGUUUAUGGUUUUGUGCAUAAGAAUGAAGGAUCUAAAUUGAUGUUGGAAAAUGAUAGAAUAUAUGGUAUAAAGUUGGUUGAAUAUGAGGGAUCCUUUAGUGAUAGUUAUGUCUAAGUGAAUUAGCACAAACUUUAAUAAGUUUUUAAAUUUUUUAUCUCUAAAAGUCAUGAUAAUUAUGUGCGGUUUAUUAACAUGGAUAAUAAUUAUAAUUAAUGAAUGAUCUGUUAUAUGUAUAUAGACUACGUUUGAGGAAAGAGUAGCCAAGAAAUGGUGAAUUUUUUUUGGGUCGGUUGAGGUAUUAUGACCCUUGAGGUUUAAAGUUUCUGUUAUUCAGAUUAUCUUAAAAGAAUGAGACCUUUGGUUAAAUUUAGAAAUGUACUAAGAAUCUAAAGUAGAAUUUGAGUCUUAGGUUGAACCUAAGCAUUAUUUGAGUCAAUUUGAGAAAGUUUAAAAGUGAAUGGUAUGUUAUAUUAUCUGAUAACAGAGUAUGACGUCUGAUUGAAUUUUUGAAGGAUAUGUGAACCUAACUGUGAAUUUAAGAAUAAUUAAGUGAAGAAUAUAAUUUCUGGCAUAGUAUGGACCUAAUAUAUUACUAUUGAAAGUAAAGGUCAAAGUAUAAUUUUAAAAAGAAAAGGUCCAAUAUAUGAUUAAAGAAAAUAUGUUAUUUGAAUUAUGAUAUGAUUGUUUAAUUAGCAAGAACGUGAAUUUUGUCCCGCAUGCGUGAAUAAAUAUGAUUAUUCUGAUUGAGAAUUGGUUAAUGAUUAUUGAUUACUUGCCUAGAAAGGAUAAUGAUUUUGUCUCGCUUGCUCAAUGCUGUGGUGUGGAUAUGCGAUGGUGGUUUUGUCCCGCCUACAUUCUCUUUGAUUGCAAGGUGGAAAGGAACUCUUCUUCGUUUUAUAUGACACGGCCUCACAGGAGAAGGUCGUAGGCACUCUUCCUCGAUUUAUUUUCUCUGGUGAUACCUCCAAGAGAAGGUAGUAGGGCACACUCCCUCGAUUAUAUUCCUCCUGGAAAUGCGCAACAAAGAAAUGAUGUUUGGGUUAGCUACCAGAUGUGUUAGGUCUGAAAACGUAAUUGACAUGUGAGUUCACAGCCAGUAGUACUGGCAUGCAUCAUACUAUAUUUGUUUGUAUAUUGCUUGAAAUUGGUUAUCUAUUUGUCUGUACUUGUAUAAUUAAAAUAUGUGUGAUUGUUUGCUUGAUUGUUUACUUUUUUGUGAUUGAGGUUGUUGGUUUAGAAUCAAAAUAAGUGAUGGUAGUCUUUAAAAACAGAGAUUAACUGGAUGGUAAAUCUGAAAAGAAAUAUAAAGUGAGUACCCUAUGAUCAAAAGUAUGAAAAUUAAACAACGGAAAAAUUAAAUUAGUUAUUUAUGAGAAAAUGAUAGUUUAGAAAAGAAAAAGGGCAUUGAGGAAUGAGUUAUGAGAGAGAAACAGUUGAAUUCUAAAAGUUGAGAAAACAAAAUAAAUUUGUAAGAGAAAAAUUCAUAAGACAAGUAUUGAUUAACUGCCAUAAGGCAAAUUAUGU